rnacentral:rRNA from 1 species
AUUGAACGCUGGCGGCAUGCUUUACACAUGCAAGUCGAACGGUAACAGGCCUUCGGGCGCUGCCGAGUGGCGAACGGGUGAGUAAUGCAUCGGAACGUGCCCAGUCGUGGGGGAUAACGCAGCGAAAGCUGUGCUAAUACCGCAUACGAUCUGCGGAUGAAAGCGGGGGACAUUAGGGCCUCGCGCGAUUGGAGCGGCCGAUGUCAGAUUAGGUAGUUGGUGGGGUAAAGGCUCACCAAGCCAACGAUCUGUAGCUGGUCUGAGAGGACGACCAGCCACACUGGGACUGAGACACGGCCCAGACUCCUACGGGAGGCAGCAGUGGGGAAUUUUGGACAAUGGGCGCAAGCCUGAUCCAGCAAUGCCGCGUGCAGGAAGAAGGCCUUCGGGUUGUAAACUGCUUUUGUACGGGGCGAAAAGGCUCCCUCUAAUACAGGGGGCUCAUGACGGUACCGUAAGAAUAAGCACCGGCUAACUACGUGCCAGCCGCCGCCGUAAUAC